GUAAUGUUUUUCCAAUAUGCUAUUUCUGUAACUCGGAAAAUGAAACCCUAAAUCAUUUACUGCUACAUUGUAAAAAAUUAAGACUAUUCCGAAAAUAUAAAAAUGACUUCAUUAGAAUAGAAAUCAAUGAUGAAACUUUUGUUUUAAAUGAAUUAAACUGUUUGUUAUUUAAUAUACCACAGGAACUAUUCCCAUCAAUGUAUGCAUUUGUUUAUUCAAUUUAUCAAAUUAGUUAUGUUAUCAAUUCAGGUGGUUUAAUUCAUACUCUUAACACCAUAAUGAUGACAUAAUUUUGGCCACAUAUACCAAUUCCACCAACAUGAGAAGGAAGGUUGAGGCCUGCAUCCCAAUAAUUUUUUAUGCCCCACCUACGAUAGUAGAGGGCAUUAUGUUUUCUGGUCUGUGCGUCCGUUCGUCCGUCCGUCUGUUCGUUCGUUCGUUCGUUCGUCCGUCUGUCCCGCUUCAGGUUAAAGUUUUUGGUCAAGGUAGUUUUUGAUGAAGUUGAAGUCCAAUCAACUUGAAACUUAGUACACAUGUUCCUUAUGAUAUGAUCUUUCUAAUUUAAAUGCCAAAUUAGAGUUUUAACCCCAAUUUUACAGUUCACUGAUAGAAAAUGAUAGUGCAAAUUUCAGGUUAAAGUUUUUGGCUUCAGGUUAAAGUUUUUGGUCAAGGUAGUUUUUGAUGAAGUUGAAGUCCAAUCAACUUGAAACUUAGUAUACAUGUGCCUAUGAUAUGAAUCUUUCUAAUUUAAAUGCCAAAUUAGAGUUUUGACCCCAAUUUUACGGUUCACUGAACAUAGAAAAUGAUAGUGCAAAUUUCAGGUUAAAGUUUUUGGCUUCAGGUUAAAGUUUUUGGUCAAGGUAGUUUUUGAUGAAGUUGAAGUCCAAUCAACUUGAAACUUAGUAUACAUGUGCCCUAUGAUAUGAUCUUUCUAAUUU
rnacentral:lncRNA from 1 species